rnacentral:rRNA from 1 species
UAGUGGCGAACGGGUGAGUAACACGUGGGCAAUCUGCCCUUCACUCUGGGACAAGCCCUGGAAACGGGGUCUAAUACCGGAUAUCACUCCUGCAGGCAUCUGCGGGAGUCGAAAGCUCCGGCGGUGAAGGAUGAGCCCGCGGCCUAUCAGCUUGUUGGUGAGGUAAUGGCUCACCAAGGCGACGACGGGUAGCCGGCCUGAGAGGGCGACCGGCCACACUGGGACUGAGACACGGCCCAGACUCCUACGGGAGGCAGCAGUGGGGAAUAUUGCACAAUGGGCGAAAGCCUGAUGCAGCGACGCCGCGUGAGGGAUGACGGCCUUCGGGUUGUAAACCUCUUUCAGCAGGGAAGAAGCGAAAGUGACGGUACCUGCAGAAGAAGCGCCGGCUAACUACGUGCCAGCAGCCGCGGUAAUACGUAGGGCGCAAGCGUUGUCCGGAAUUAUUGGGCGUAAAGAGCUCGUAGGCGGCUUGUCACGUCGGGUGUGAAAGCCCGGGGCUUAACCCCGGGUCUGCAUUCGAUACGGGCUAGCUAGAGUGUGGUAGGGGAGAUCGGAAUUCCUGG